rnacentral:lncRNA from 1 species
AUACUGCUUUGAAGUAUCUCUCACAAGAGUGGGAAGGAGUUUUCAUUUGAAUCUCUUUAAAAGAUGUUGACAGUGCAGUUCUGAAACUAACUCAUGCUCUUCGUUAAAGUUACCUGUAAAGCAGGUGAUAUACCCAGACAUGCUCACCUAAGAAAUGAGAUGAGCCUACUGAGGUGUAUGUGGCAGAAAAGAACAGUCUGAACGCUGCUGGUGUGGUUUGUUCCAGAACUACUGCAAUGAAUGAGAGAGCUCACCACAAACUGUAGCUCUAAGAUGCCUGUGGGGGAUUAGGCCUUGCUACAAAGUUGGGGGUUUAGAAUCUUUACCCCUUUGUAGGCAGGAAGUAGUGUUUUAUAAGGGUAAGAAAGUCAUAUUACUUCCUGAUACUUGCUAUUGCAAGCAUGCUGCUAGAUUUGAUCAGUACUGCUCUUGCUCCAUUGGUCUUAAAGGAACUAUGAUAGAUUUAAGUGAUCUUUCAAAAUGAAAGACACGGUGAACGAACUGCUGCACGAGGGAGCAAAAGUAUGAAGUCUCAAGUGUAUGUAAUCCUGCAUACCUGAAGAACUCUGGAAGGACACAUCUUCACCCUGAAAAGAAAGGGCAGAGAGCAGCAACUGUGUGUCCCUGUGGCAUUUUUUAGGUUGCUGGGAGGAACGAUGUAGAAAUGCCUUCUCACAGCUUGGUGGAAUCUGUACUUAGUCACUCAAAGGUGAAAGAAUUUUACAGGCACUGAGGCAUAGAAAGCGUGCUCUUCCAUCUACACCUCUGGUAUGGUGUGAGACAGGUCAGCACUUUGGUACUGCUGACUGAAGCUUCCAAAAGCAGAAAUAGUCUACAUCCCAAAGAGGACAUGAACACUGAAGACUUCCAGUUACAACAAGCUGCUAUUACCUUUAAUCCGGCUACUGGAGAAGAUUAUGGUUUACAGAUAGAAGACCGCAGGAUCUAUGCUUGUAUGGGGCUUGCCCAGGGCUUGACCACACUUUUCUACUUUACAAAAAGAAAUGAAAUUAAUCUCUGGGAGCAAAGUAAAAAAAGCAACAAAAUCCAAAAAACAGAGAGACAGAAAAAUACAUACUACUACUACUACCUUCUGGUUUGUUCCAUAUCCCACACAGCUUGAGCGAGAACUCAUAGUCCAGCUUUCCAAGUCCAUAGAAUUACUCUACUUGAGCUCGUCAUUUACCCAACUGCUUCUUUCCUUUUGUUUCCCACAAGUUUCCAGGAAGAUUUACCCUCCAAACAUCAAGUAGCUUUUGAAGAACUUAUCUUAAAUGCAUUUCCAACGUUUUAUGAUGGAGAAACGUGAAGUGCUGAUGAUCAAACCAAAAGUGGGCUCAGUUUUCCUACAGCGUCACUCAGGAGGUUGAAAGACACCAACGGCAGGGUUCUGACUCUAAACAAAGCUUUCUCUAUUAAAAUGGAUUAAAAAAC